GACCCCUGGCAAUGGGCAGAGACACCUUGUUGGUGGGGCUGUUCUUCUGUCAGUCAGGGGCAGAACAGGUGGCAGUCCUUAGCUCAUCCUAGCUUGAUGCCUGGCUUGGUGACCAAAGCUGCCUUAUGCCUAGGACUCAUAA